ensembl:lncRNA
UUGUGGGGGGCGGAAUCCCGAGGGUGGCGUGAGAGACCCAGGGGAGCUCCCUCCGGGCGCUCAGCUGCUGGUCCUGUCUGAUUAUGUUUUGCCGCAUUGAGUCUGAAGUUUAUGUGGAAGUGAACUCGCCCGAGUUGUCCAGUUGGAGUCGUAGCCACUCUUUCAGGGGACCCGGCGACGCCAAUGAGGCCCUGGGCGCGCUCCUUGUCAUUCUUGUCCGAUGUCCCUAUGCAUUUUGCUUUCCGCUGUCAAUCUCACUGUCUCAUUCUCACACCGCAUCAGUCCCCAUCAUCACUCCUCCUCCCCAAAGAGAUACAGAUUGCCCUCAUCUCCGGCAUGAAGAAGUCACGAUUCUGACCCGCCGCCUCUCCAGGGGCGGUGCCCGGGACGGCCACCCAGCAGGACAGCCGGAGCCGGGGUCCCGGCGUCCAGGGGGUCCAGGGCACCCCCGUUAGCUGUAAGGUUUUCCAUCAGGUGUGACUGUCAGUUUGCUGGUCUUCCAAUACCGAAGAAAGGGUGGUUGUGACAAUACCUCUUGCUUCUAAAGAAUGUAUAUUAUGAAACACGGCAGAUUUUUUUUUUCCUUAAAAAACACUACCUGAUACUUUCCUUGUUUGUGGGGAUUGUGGUCACAUGAAGCUCUUUCUGCAUCAGUAUUAAGGUGUGUAUUUGAAUGUCCUCCCCACCCCUUUCCCCUCUGGGCUGUGUAGCUUUGAGGGGCUGGGCGUUUGCUCAUGUCCUUGCUGUCUCGCUCAGAACAUGCUCUGCAAAGUUUUUCUCUGCACUCUCCCCAUCAAGCCCUUUUCCUUCCCCUACCACAAAGGUCUUUGUGAUUCCUCAGCCCGGGAACCCAAGGAGCUGCAAAGUGGAGUCUGGUUCAGCCCCGUGCAAACUCACCCAGAGCUUAACGUUGUCUUUAAAAACACCCUGAGCCUUCCUAACCAGCCAGUGCAGACGUUCUCUCUGGGCCACGAAGCCCCUCGGGUCCUCCCCGUCCCCUGCUCCGAAGCAUACCUCAGUGCAGAACCGCGGAGUCUCUGCGGCAGAAACGCCGUGCAUCUCCGUCUGUUGGCAGUGAGCACGUCGUGCUGGAGACACGAGUUUCUAAGCAGCUGGCACGAGGGCUGCUGACGGCAUGGGUCGUGCUUCAGGGUGGCAAUACCUCUUAGGAACUUAGGGCAGGAAGCAAUACUUCAGCAUUGAAUGUGUGUAAAUAGUUGCUUUGAGUUGCAAUUGCUAUUUUCUCAGCCCCAGCUCAGAUGGAAUUAUAUAUCCAUAUAGAUAUAUGGUAAACAAGCACACACAAUUUUAUCCAAUGCAAACAAAUGUAGAGCAUCAGUUACAAAACCCUCGAAUAGCUUGAGAGUCCCACAGGCUCUGCCACACCUGUGACUCCAUCCACACUGACGUCACCCGCGGGGUCCCACCUGCACAUUUGCACACGGUCCGGAGAGCCAAAGGCCGCGUGCUUCCUGUUACAUGGGCUGCAAUCAUUUGUAGUUUCCAAAGACACGUCUGCAUUUGAAUUUCUAGAUUUACGAGGUAAGGAGUUUUUUUUUUUUUUUUU